rnacentral:rRNA from 1 species
GAUGAACGCUGGCGGCGUGCCUAAUACAUGCAAGUCGAGCGGACGGACGAGAAGCUUGCUUCUCUGAUGUUAGCGGCGGACGGGUGAGUAACACGUGGAUAACCUACCUAUAAGACUGGGAUAACUUCGGGAAACCGGAGCUAAUACCGGAUAAUAUUUUGAACCGCAUGGUUCAAAAGUGAAAGACGGUCUUGCUGGCACUUAUAGAUGGAUCCGCGCUGCAUUAGCUAGUUGGUAAGGUAACGGCUUACCAAGGCAACGAUGCAUAGCCGAACUGAGAGGGUGAUCGGCCACACGGGAACUGAGACACGGUCCAGACUCCUACGGGAGGCAGCAGUAGGGAAUCUGCCGCAAUGGGCGAAAGCCUGACGGAGCAACGCCGCGUGAGUGAUGAAGGUCUUCGGAUCGUAAAACUCUGUUAUUAGGGAAGAACAUAUGUGUAAGUAACUGUGCACAUCUUGACGGUACCUAAUCAGAAAGCCACGGCUAACUACGUG